rnacentral:rRNA from 1 species
AGUGAACGCUGGCGGUAGGCCUAACACAUGCAAGUCGAACGGCAGCACAGUAAGAGCUUGCUCUUACGGGUGGCGAGUGGCGGACGGGUGAGGAAUACAUCGGAAUCUACUUUUUCGUGGGGGAUAACGUAGGGAAACUUACGCUAAUACCGCAUACGACCUACGGGUGAAAGCAGGGGAUCUUCGGACCUUGCGCGAUUGAAUGAGCCGAUGUCGGAUUAGCUAGUUGGCGGGGUAAAGGCCCACCAAGGUGACGAUCCGUAGCUGGUCUGAGAGGAUGAUCAGCCACACUGGAACUGAGACACGGUCCAGACUCCUACGGGAGGCAGCAGUGGGGAAUAUUGGACAAUGGGCGCAAGCCUGAUCCAGCCAUACCGCGUGGGUGAAGAAGGCCUUCGGGUUGUAAAGCCCUUUUGUUGGGAAAGAAAAGCAGCAGGUUAAUACCCCGCCGUUCUGACGGUACCCAAAGAAUAAGCACCGGCUAACUUCGUG